rnacentral:rRNA from 1 species
UACGUAGGUGGCAAGCGUUGUCCGGAUUUACUGGGCGUAAAGCGCCCGCAGGCGGCUUGUUAAGUUCAAGGUGAAAUCUCCCGGCUCAACUGGGAGGGUGCCUCGAAAACUGGCAGGCUUGAGGUGAGGAGAGGGAUGCGGAAUUCCAGGUGUAGCGGUGAAAUGCGUUGAUAUCUAGGGGAACACCAAAAGCGAAGGCAAGAGACUGGGGCAUUCCUGACACUGAAACAUGAAAGCGUGGGUAGCGAAUGGG